rnacentral:rRNA from 1 species
GACGAGUGGCGGACGGGUGAGUAAUGCUUGGGAACUUGCCUUUGCGAGGGGGAUAACAGUUGGAAACGACUGCUAAUACCGCAUAAUGUCUUCGGACCAAACGGGGCUUCGGCUCCGGCGCAAAGAGAGGCCCAAGUGAGAUUAGCUAGUUGGUAAGGUAACGGCUUACCAAGGCGACGAUCUCUAGCUGUUCUGAGAGGAAGAUCAGCCACACUGGGACUGAGACACGGCCCAGACUCCUACGGGAGGCAGCAGUGGGGAAUAUUGCACAAUGGGGGAAACCCUGAUGCAGCCAUGCCGCGUGUGUGAAGAAGGCCUUCGGGUUGUAAAGCACUUUCAGUUGUGAGGAAAAGUUAGUAGUUAAUACCUGCUAGCCGUGACGUUAACAACAGAAGAAGCACCGGCUAACUCCGUGCCAGCAGCCGCGGUAAUACGGAGGGUGCGAGCGUUAAUCGGAAUUACUGGGCGUAAAGCGCACGCAGGCGGUUUGUUAAGCUAGAUGUGAAAGCCCCGGGCUCAACCUGGGAUGGUCAUUUAGAACUGGCAGACUAGAGUCUUGGAGAGGGGAGUGGAAUUCCAGGUGUAGCGGUGAAAUGCGUAGAUAUCUGGAGGAACAUCAGUGGCGAAGGCGACUCCCUGGCCAAAGACUGACGCUCAUGUGCGNNGUGUGGGUAGCGAACAGGAUUAGAUACCCUGGUAGUCCACACCGUAAACGCUGUCUACUAGCUGUGUGUG